AGUGAACGCUGGCGGUAGGCCUAACACAUGCAAGUCGAACGGCAGCACAGUAAGAGCUUGCUCUUACGGGUGGCGAGUGGCGGACGGGUGAGGAAUACAUCGGAAUCUACUUUUUCGUGGGGGAUAACGUAGGGAAACUUACGCUAAUACCGCAUACGACCUACGGGUGAAAGCAGGGGAUCUUCGGACCUUGCGCGAUUGAAUGAGCCGAUGUCGGAUUAGCUAGUUGGCGGGGUAAAGGCCCACCAAGGCGACGAUCCGUAGCUGGUCUGAGAGGAUGAUCAGCCACACUGGAACUGAGACACGGUCCAGACUCCUACGGGAGGCAGCAGUGGGGAAUAUUGGACAAUGGGCGCAAGCCUGAUCCAGCCAUACCGCGUGGGUGAAGAAGGCCUCCGGGUUGUAAAGCCCUUUUGUUGGGAAAGAAAAGCAGCAGGUUAAUACCCCGCUGUUCUGACGGUACCCAAAGAAUAAGCACCGGCCAACUUCGUG
rnacentral:rRNA from 1 species